rnacentral:rRNA from 1 species
CCUACGGGAGGCAGCAGUGGGGAAUCUUCCGCAAUGGGCGCAAGCCUGACGGAGCAACGCCGCGUGAGUGAAGAAGGGUUUCGACUCGUAAAGCUCUGUUGUCGGGGACGAAUGUCAGGACUCAAAAUAUGGGUUCUGAAUGACGGUACCUGACGAGGAAGCCACGGCUAACUACGUGCCAGCAGCCGCGGUAAUACGUAGGUGGCGAGCGUUGUCCGGAAUUAUUGGGCGUAAAGGGAGCGCAGGCGGGAGAUCAAGUCUAUCUUAAAAGUGCGGGGCUCAACCCCGUGAGGGGAUGGAAACUGGUCUUCUUGAGUGCAGGAGAGGAAAGCGGAAUUCCUAGUGUAGCGGUGAAAUGCGUAGAUAUUAGGAGGAACACCAGUGGCGAAGGCGGCUUUCUGGACUGUAACUGACGCUGAGGCUCGAAAGCGUGGGGAGC